rnacentral:rRNA from 1 species
UCAGAAUGCCAGAGUAUUGAUGCUUGGGAGUCAGACAGUGUCAGAUAAAUGUCAUUGUCAAAAGGGAAACAGCCCAGAUCUACAGCUAAGGUCCCAAAGUCAGGUUAAGUGGAAAACGAUGUGAAGAUACGCAGACAACCAGGAUGUUGGCUCAGAAGCAGCCACUCAUUCAAAGAGUGCGUAAUAGCUCACUGGUCGAGCGUCUUUGCGCGGAGAAUUUAACGGGGCUAAACCUGACACCGAAGCUUAGGCAAUCCAGUAAUGGAUUGGGUAGGGGAGCGUUGUAUACGCGGAGAAACAGUAGCGUAAGCGGCUGUGGAGUGUAUAGAAGUGAGAAUGCCGGAAUGAGUAGCGCGAAUGCAGUGAGAAUCUGCAUGGCCGAAAGCCUCAGGUUUUUGGAGGAAGGUUCGUCCGCUCCAAGUUAGUCGGGAGCUAAGGUGAGGCCGGAAGGCGUAGCCGAUGCACAGACGGUAGAGAUUCCGUCACCACCAAAAGAGUUAAGCACAGGGACACAUUUGAAGUCUCAGAGCCGGGUGUUGGUUCCGGUAGAGAUCGAGGGAAAUUAGUACCGAAGUCUGGGAUGGAAGAUGGCGAGAAAAGCUGUGUGUAUUUCUGAGGUGCCCGUACCGCAAACCGACACAGGUAGGUAGGAAGAAGAUUCUAAGGCCAACGGGAGAAGGGUUGUUAAGGAACUCGGCAAAUUGACCCCGUAACUUCGGGAGAAGGGGUGCUCCAGAGAUGGAGCCGCAGAGAAUCGGCCCAAGCAACUGUUUACCAAAAACACAGGUUUGUGCUAAAUCGAAAGAUGACGUAUACGAGCUGACGCCUGCCCGGUGCUGGAAGGUUAAGAGGAGAUGUGCAAGCAUUGAAUCGAAGCCCCAGUGAACGGCGGCCGUAACUAUAACGGUCCUAAGGUAGCGAAAUUCCUUGUCAGGUAAGUUCUGACCCGCAUGAAAGGCGUAAUGAUUUGGGCACUGUCUCAACAGCCCGCCCGGCGAAAUUGUAGUACCGGUGAAGAUGCCGGUUACCCGCGACAAGACGGAAAGACCCCAUGGAGCUUUACUGUAGCCUAAUAUUGGGUUUCGAUGUUGCAUGCACAGGAUAGAUGGGACACUGGGAAACAAUCGCUUUGGCGGUUGCGGAGUGGCCGUUGGGAUACCAUCCUUGCGAUAUUGGAAUUCUAACCUGCGGCUCUGAAUCGAGUCGGGGGACAUUGUUAGGUGGGCAGUUUGACUGGGGCGGUCGCCUCCUAAAAAGUAACGGAGGCGUUCAAAGGUUCGCUCAGCUUGAACGGAAAUCAAGCAAAAGAGUGCAAACGCAGAAGCGAGCCUAACUGCGAGACUGACGGGUCGAGCAGUAACGAAAGUUGGAGUUAGUGAUCCGGUGGUAUGUGAGUGGAAAUGCCAUCGCUCAACGGAUAAAAGUUACCCUGGGGAUAACAGGCUGAUCUCCCCCAAGAGUCCACAUCGACGGGGAGGUUUGGCACCUCGAUGUCGGCUCAUCGCAUCCUGGGGCUGUAUUCGGUCCCAAGGGUUUGGCUGUUCGCCAAUUAAAGCGGUACGCGAGCUGGGUUCAGAACGUCGUGAGACAGUUCGGUCCCUAUCUGUCGUGGGCGCAGGAUAUUUGAUGGGAGCUGUCCCUAGUACGAGAGGACCGGGACGGACGUACCUCUGGCGCACCAGUUGUUCCGCCAGGAGCAUAGCUGGGCAACUACGUACGGAUCGGAUAAACGCUGAAAGCAUCUAAGCGUGAAGCCGACCCAAAGAUAAGAUAUCCCAUUGUUUUAAACAAGUAAGACCCCUUGAAGACUACAAGGUCGAUNGGCACGAUGUGUAAGUGGAGCGAUCCAUUCAGCAAGCGUGUACUAAUAGGUCGAGGGCUUGACCAC